CGUACUAGCUAUAAGAGUGUGAUCGUGGUCUCAGGAGCUCUCAUCGCUGUGGCGGAUAAAUUGGCGAACGGGUGAGUAACACGUGAGUAACCUGCCCUUAACUCUGGGAUAAGCCUGGGAAACUGGGUCUAAUACCGGAUAGGAGCGCCUACCGCAUGGUGGGUGUUGGAAAGAUUUAUCGGUUUUGGAUGGACUCGCGGCCUAUCAGCUUGUUGGUGAGGUAAUGGCUCACCAAGGCGACGACGGGUAGCCGGCCUGAGAGGGUGACCGGCCACACUGGGACUGAGACACGGCCCAGACUCCUACGGGAGGCAGCAGUGGGGAAUAUUGCACAAUGGGCGCAAGCCUGAUGCAGCGACGCCGCGUGAGGGAUGACGGCCUUCGGGUUGUAAACCUCUUUCAGUAGGGAAGAAGCGAAAGUGACGGUACCUGCAGAAGAAGCACCGGCUAAAUACGUGCCAGCAGCCGCGGUAAUACGUAGGGUGCGAGCGUUAUCCGGAAUUAUUGGGCGUAAAGAGCUCGUAGGCGGUUUGUCGCGUCUGUCGUGAAAGUCCGGGGCUUAACCCCGGAUCUGCGGUGGGUACGGGCAGACUAGAGUGCAGUAGGGGAGACUGGAAUUCCUGGUGUAGCGGUGGAAUGCGCAGAUAUCAGGAGGAACACCGAUGGCGAAGGCAGGUCUCUGGGCUGUAACUGACGCUGAGGAGCGAAAGCAUGGGGAGCGAACAGGAUUAGAUACCCUGGUAGUCCAUGCCAUAAACGUUGGGCACUAGGUGUGGGGACCAUUCCACGGUUUCCGCGCCGCAGCUAACGCAUUAAGUGCCCCGCCUGAGGAGUACGGCCGCAAGGCUAAAACUCAAAGGAAUUGACGGGAGCCCCCACAAGCGGCCGGAGCAUGCGGGAUUAAUUCGAUGCAACGCGAAGUAACCUUACCAAGGUCUGGACAUGAUCCUCGAUCCCCGUAGAGAUACGGUUUCCCCUUUGGGGCGGGUUCACAGGUGGUGCAUGGUUGUCGUCAGCUCGUGUCGUGAGAUGUUGGGUUAAGUCCCGCAACGAGCGCAACCCUCGUUCCAUGUUGCCAGCACGUAAUGGUGGGGACUCAUGGGAGACUGCCGGGGUCAACUCGGAGGAAGGUGAGGACGACGUCAAAUCAUCAUGCCCCUUAUGUCUUGGGCUUCACGCAUGCUACAAUGGCCGGUACAAUGGGUUGCGAUACUGUGAGGUGGAGCUAAUCCCAAAAAGCCGGUCUCAGUUCGGAUUGGGGUCUGCAACUCGACCCCAUGAAGUCGGAGUCGCUAGUAAUCGCAGAUCAGCAACGCUGCGGUGAAUACGUUCCCGGGCCUUGUACACACCCCCCGUCAAGUCACAAAAGUCGGCUACUAGAGUGAGCUCGGGUCUCUAGAAGUCUUGACACAGGUGACCGUAUAAGAGUACCUC
rnacentral:rRNA from 1 species